rnacentral:rRNA from 1 species
CCUACGGGGGGCAGCAGUGAGGAAUAUUGGUCAAUGGUCGGGAGACUGAACCAGCCAAGCCGCGUGAGGGAUGAAGGUACAGAGUAUCGUAAACCUCUUUUGUCAGGGAACAAAGGCGGGGACGUGUCCCCGGAUGAGUGUACCUGAAGAAAAAGCAUCGGCUAACUCCGUGCCAGCAGCCGCGGUAAUACGGAGGAUGCGAGCGUUAUCCGGAUUUAUUGGGUUUAAAGGGUGUGCAGGCGGUCUGUUAAGUCAGCGGUCAAAGCCCGGGGCUCAACCCCGGCCCGCCGUUGAAACUGGCAGUCGCGAGUUGGAGAGAAGUAUGCGGAAUGCGCGGUGUAGCGGUGAAAUGCAUAGAUAUCGCGCAGAACUCCGAUUGCGAAGGCAGCAUGCCGGCUCCACACUGACGCUGAGGCACGAAAGCGUGGGUAUCGAACAGGAUUAGAUACCCUUGUAGUC